AAAACGGAGAGUUUGAUCCUGGCUCAGGAUGAACGCUGGCGGUAUGCUUAACACAUGCAAGUCGAACGGGAUGCUUAGGCAUCUAGUGGCGGACGGGUGAGUAACG
rnacentral:rRNA from 3 species